rnacentral:rRNA from 1 species
ACGAGUGGCGAACGGGUGCGUAACACGUAUGUAACCUACCCUUAACUGGGGUAUAGCUCCGAGAAAUCGGAAUUAAUCCCCCAUAACUUUUCGAAAAGGCAUCUUUUUGAAAAUAAAGCUUCGGCGGUUAGGGAUGGACAUGCGGCCCAUUAGCUAGUUGGUGAUGGUAACGGCUCACCAAGGCUACGAUGGGUAGCUGGUCUGAGAGGAUGAUCAGCCACACUGGCACUGAGAUACGGGCCAGACUCCUACGGGAGGCAGCAGUAGGGAAUAUUGGGCAAUGGGCGAAAGCCUGACCCAGCCAUGCCGCGUGCAGGAUUGAAUGCUCUAUGAGUUGUAAACUGCUUUUAUUCGGGACGAACAAGUUCUAUUCUUAGAGCUCUGACGGUACCGAAAGAAUAAGGACCGGCUAACUCCGUGCCAGCAGCCGCGGUAAUACGGAGGGUCCAAGCGUUAUCCGGAUUUACUGGGUUUAAAGGGUGCGUAGGUGGCUUGAUAAGUCAGUGGUGAAAUCUGCGGCUUAACCGCAGAACUGCCAUUGAAACUAUCAGGCUUGAGUGUAGUUGAGGCGGGUGGAAUGUAUCAUGUAGCGGUGAAAUGCUUAGAGAUGAUACAGAACACCGAUUGAGAAGUCAGCUCGCUAAACUAUAACUGACACUAAGGCACGAAAGCGUGGGUAUCGAACAGGAUUAGAUACCCUGGUAGUCCACGCCCUAAACCAUGAACACUAGACGUGUGCCGCUUAGCGGUACGUGUCCGAGCGAAAGCGUUAAGUGUUCCACCUGGGGAGUACGGUCGCAAGAUUAAAACUCAAAGGAAUUGACGGGGGCCCGCACAAGCGGAGGAGUAUGUGGUUUAAUUCGAUGAUACGCGAGGAACCUUACCUGGGCUAGAAUGCGCGUGACGUUCCGCGAAAGCGGAAUUCUCUUCGGAGCACAAAGCAAGGUGCUGCAUGGCUGUCGUCAGCUCGUGCCGUGAGGUGUUAGGUUAAGUCCUUCAACGAGCGCAACCCCUAUUCUUAGUUGCUAACAGGUAACGCUGAGCACUCUAAGAAAACUGCCUGCGUAAGCAGUGAGGAGGGAGGGGAUGACGUCAAGUCCGCAUGGCCUUUAUGUCCAGGGCUACACACAUACUACAAUGGUUAAUACAGAGCGUAGCCACGUGGUGACACGGAGCUAAUCGCUAAAAUUAACCUCAGUUCGGAUUGGAGUCUGCAACUCGACUCCAUGAAGUUGGAUUCGCUAGUAAUCGCUCAUCAGCUACGGAGCGGUGAAUACGUUCCCGGGCCUUGUACACACCGCCCGUCAAGCCAUGGGAGUCAGAAGUACCUGAAGUCG